UAUAACAGCCAUAUCACCCUGCAACUCACAACUGGCAACCCACUGAAGCUCAGCAGGUGUGAGCCUGGUCAGUACCUGGAUAGGAGACCUCCUGGGAAAAACUAAGGUUGCUGCUGGAA
ensembl:rRNA 5S_rRNA 5S ribosomal RNA